UCCUCAACAUGUCCUACAGCAUUCCAGGAAAGAUGAUGGAGUGGGCAUGAAUCUCAAGACACUUUUCUGCCUAGACUUUCCAGUUGUAAUUUAUACCUAAAAACAGUGGCUCCUUUUAGCAAGCAUCAUACUGCUAGUCGGCCUCAUUUUAGAAAUCCAGAUAUGGAAUGGAAAUUUUCUGUCUUCAUAUUCUCAAUAUUUGGUGGUUAUUCUGGACUCCACUUCUCUGGGUAUCAAAGCUUCAGUGGAAGAAAGAUGGACUCAGGGACAACAGUUGCUUAAUCCUCUCUAAGCUAUUUCUUCCACCUCAUAAAUGCCUAUCCAAAGUUCUGGACAACUGAGCUUAUGGAAGACAUAUUUUAUACACUGACAUGAAGGUAUCUGGAUAGUUCUGAUGAUCUACUUCAGGAGUCUUAUUGAGGAGGUCUGUUCCUGAGCCAAUAUGAUGGAGAGUUGAGCCUACUUUUUCUUCUAGUAGGCACAAGGUCUAAUGCCAAGGUCCUUGAUCCACUUUGAGAAUGACUUGCUUGAAAGCCUUCUGAUUGGGUUGGGGGAAUAAAGUUGCUGUGUGAAUUUCAAAGACCAGAAAAUGUAAAAAGGAGCAAACACUUGCUGAAGGCAUCAGAGAAGUGACUGCAAUCAAGCAGUGUUGGUGUGACCUUGAAGCUUCCUAGAAUAGAGGCCACAUUUGGAAUAAUGGAAGCUGUGCAUUCAAAUGCCUCUGGAUGACCUCACUAAUAGAAGCCCCUUAUUCCUGCUGAGAUGUCUCUAGGCCUAACACCAGUGUUUAGUCAUUCCUAGGAAUCCAGAAAAUCAGCCUUUUGUUUUUAGAAAUACAAAUGGAAUUAUGCCAUUGUUGAAUAUUGCAUAACUGAUUUAAUCCUAAUGUGAUGUCAAAACAAAUUUCCUCAGAAGUUAAGGGAAUGCCUUAUCUACCACAGAUACAAUUGCUUUGCAGAUGCCAUGUAUGUACUCUUCCAACAAAUUAUUGGGCAGUUCUGUUCAUGAACUUUCACAAUUCUCCAUCCCAAAUAUUUCUGUGGGGUAAUUAAAAUGAUCUUUUCAUAAAGGCAGUAUGAAGCAGUAUGCAUCAUCUCUACACACUGAGCUGAAAAAUAUUGUAUUCAUAAAUUAAAUUGGACAUUUUGAAAGGUUAACACAAAAAGCUACUUUGCUCUUGGUAAUCAAUAAGGAAAAAAGGAUUUCAGGUAAUUAAAAUCUGUGAAGUGAACAUUUCUCAUUUGGAACCUAUUAAAGGAAUAUAAGCAGACAGAGGCAAGAGAUAAAUAUGAAAACAAGUGAUUAAAAAUGUUUCGUUAUAUAUUGGCAAGGGAAUAUAAUAACAUAUGGGGCCUGAAAUAAUAUAACAUGUUGUUAUAGAUAGUAUAACAUUUAAAUUAUAUGGUAUAAGUUAUGCAUGUACAUUACUUAAUUUAAACAUUAGACCGUAAUUUUUUUUAAAUAUGCCUGUUCUGUAUGUUAGGCUAUAGUUUAUGUGUUGUUUAAGUCUUUCCAACUGAAUGCUUGGUAUAGAAACCAGCAUGGCUACUUGUUAGAAAUGCAGAAUUCCAAACCCAUACCAGGUGAAUCAAAAUCUGUAGUUUAACAAGUUCUAUGGGUGAUUUAUAAGCACAUUAAAGUUUGAAAAGCAUGGUUUUGGGUGAUUGCCCCACAGAAAGUUAAGUUGCCUCUGAAAAAGUCAGCUAUACUUCCUUCUUAAGGCCCAAAUCAGUAAUUUUGUGGCUAAAUGUGAGGGCAAUAACUGAAUCUACAGAAGUUGUAACAGUCAAUGUAUGUGCUAGAGCAUCUGACUUUCUAUAAUGCACCAACUAAAGGAAACACUGAGGGGCAUGCAGACUCCAUGCUCAACACCACUGGCUUUUGAGUCCUGGUUGCACAACCUUUCCUUUGAUCUACUGGCAAUGUUCUUUCCUCUUACCUGUCAAAGUUUGAUCUUUGCUUCCAGGGUGCAGUUUUUUGUUUUUGUUUUUUUCUUAACCCAAACUCAGCUUCUUUGGAACAUCCAGCCUAUUGACGUUUCCAGGGACAGUUGAAGGGUUGACUCUCUUUGGGGUCAAUUUUAAACUAAGAGCACUUCUGGUCAGAAGGCACCUUUAAACUGGCUCUGUGGUGCAAUGGAUAAUACAUAGGUCUCCUAACCAACCACAAUGUGGUCAUUAAAAAAAAAAAAAAGUGCCAGGCAUGGCAGUGCAUACUUGUAAUCCCAGCUACUUAGGGGCUAGGAUUGGCAACUUGUUGAGAACUUGUGUCAAAAUAACGAUAAUAAUAAUAAUAAAGGCUGCAGAUAUAACUCAAUGGUAGAGCACCUCUGGGAUCUAUCUCUAGUACUGAAGAAAAAGAAAGAAGAAAGAAGAAGAGAAAGAAAGAAAAGCAACAAUAAAGCACCUCUGGGUGACUGUCUCUCACACCAAUGCUUAGUGUUAAAAUCAACCAAAACUGCAUGUUCUCCUUUGCUGGUCAGUCCUUAGAUUUCCUGCCUUCCUCCACUUAAACUUCUAAUCUUAGCUAGUACAACCACUCUGGAAAACAUUAUGGAAAUUUAUCAAAAAAACUAGGGAUGGAACCACCACAUGACCCAGCUCUCCCACUCUUUCGGUAUUUUCCCCAAAGACCUAAAAUCAGCAUACUACAGUGAAACAGUCAAUUUAAUGUUUAUAGCAGCACACUUCACAAUAGCUAAAUUAUAGAAUCAACCCAGAUGCCUGUCAACAGAUUGCCGCAGUCCGGCUGCAGCAAAAUAACCAGGGGGUGACAAGCAACUUGUGUACGUUGAUACAGCAGGAGUGGGAGCCGUUUAUUACAGGACAGGAGCAGUAUUUAUACAUUCCACACAGCUUAUCUAAUUAGCAUAAACUAGAUACAUCAGACAACCAAUAAGGAAUCUCCACACUUAAUGGCUCGCUUUUGUUACUUCUCAAACCACUCCCUCUGGCAUUUUGCCAGGCACCAUCCAGACUUGUUUAGGAACUCUAACAUUCCCCUGGCAAAAUGCCAGGUGUUAUUUUGACUUGUUUACAGACUCUAACAACAGAUGAAUGGAUUAAAAAAUUGUUUUAUACACACACACACACACACACAAUGGAGUUCUACUCAGCCAUUUAAAAGAAUGAAAUUAUGGCAUUUGCUGGUAAAUGGGUGGAAAUGCUAAGUGAAAUUAGUCAAACUCAGAAACUCAAAGGUAGAAUGUUUUCUCAUAUGCGAAAGAGUAAAAUAAAAGAAAGCAGGAGGGAAGUGUAAGAUUACAUACGGGACCAAGCAAAUAUAAAUUAAUGAGUGAAAGGAAGUUUAGUAGAAUGGAAGAAGGAGAAGGGGAGUGGGGAGGUAGCACGAGAGGGGAAGGAGGAGAUAUGAACUGAAAUCAAUUUCCAUGCACGUAUGAGUUUGUCGGGAUGAAUCCAACUACUAUAUAUAACCAUAAAGCUCUAACAAAACCUACAAAACUAAACAAACAAAUAAAACCUUCUAGUGUUAGGCACACAGCUUCUGCUAGAUAGAGCAUACUGCAGUAUAAAAUUUGUUGUACUUUCUCUUCAGUUUACAUAUAGGUCUCAUGACCUUAAAGUAACAUGUUUCUUUUUAGUUUUAAUAUAACAUUACAAAGAUGUAUUUCUUUUAUGAUACAGGAAAUAUAAGGAUUAACAUAUAUGGUUUCUAGAUAAAUAUUAAUUUAAUAUAUGUAAGAUUAUAUUUCCCACUGAGUAGUAAGGCCCUUGUGCUAUGUGAUGUGCAGCAUAAGGAUGGAUUAUCAAACACAUGGCCUAGUGCACUUAGCGCUCAAAACUGCAGUGUGGGUAGGCCGAUAUAUAAGUACUAUUAAAAUAGAAGUGACAAGAAGGGCAUUAGGUGCUCAGAGUAGGAAGAAAUCAUAUCUGGCUUAUAUUUAGAAAAAAAGUCUCAAAGAAUAGGCAGUAUCUGAGCAGAACAGAAAAUGGGGUAGGGAAAUGAUAUUCCCAGCCCAAGGCAUAGAAGGAAUAUAGACGCUAAAAGAGAUUUAUGUAAGACAUACCCAGAACUAUAAUGGACACUUAACAAAACUGAAUAUAUGCAAAGGCAAAUGGUGGGAGACAGAGAAAUCUUAACACAAUGUGCUAAGUGUAUGAAGUGGAUCUCUGGAAGAAGCAUAGCUUUUAGUGAUAAAAAUGAUAGAAAAAAAGUGCAAGGACACAAAAUCCAGCAACCUAAAUGUCUGAUUACUAAUGGCUGGCCACGAAAAGGCAACCAUUAGCAAUGAAGAAACAUAUAUGAAAUUGUUCUCUGUCAUUCUGAGCAAGGUUUCUCAUCCCGAGGAGAAAAAGUUCUAUUAGAAACCAAUGGCAUCAUUUAGUUUAUCUGUGAGCCAUACAGCUCCUAGACAAAACAAUACAUAGACAAUAUGAUUGACUGAAUGAUCUAUGGACUCAUAAUCCAGCACACCUAUUGACUAAACUUUGCAGCUUGGGACAAAUUAAACAAAUAACUGGUUCUUGUGAACCAGAAGAGAACAAGUAAGAUAGGGCUGAAUAUAAAAUAGUGUAAGGGAGGUAGAAAUUUUCUGGGACUUAAAACAAGAAUUAUAAUUCAAAUUCUGACCUAAUUCAUGAUGUGACUUUUGGCAAGUUACUUUGCCUUCCUGAGCUUCACUGUCCUCAUCCAUAAAAUCAGCAUAAUUUCUAAAUUCCCUUUCUAGCUCUAACAUUCUCUAGAUCUAAAAUUCACGAGGAAAUUUCUGAUUAAUAUAGGUACAUUUUGCUUGAUUUUCUACUUCUUUUGAAGAUCACAAUAAACAAACCAAUUCUGAUUCUGAGACUGUGCCACACAAGGUGAGGAGAUGAGCAAUUUGAAUUUCCUAUUAUCAAGGUAAUAGAAAUUUUCUUGAAUCUAUAUCUGUUAUUUUGAUUCCCUUGUGGUUCACUCAUGCAGUAAUGUCCAACUACUCAGGUAGUGGUGGAAGCAGCUCAAAGUCAGAGUUUGAGAAGAAGCACCAAUGUGUUGAGAACUCAUAUUCAGGAUUGCUGAUGUUACAGAGUUGGGGCCUUCCAGGAAACUGAGGCAACAAGAAGACCCCCUUCAAACCCUUAUUCUUACAAUUAAGUCAGAAAGGUUUCCAACAUGUCACUCAGAGUAACAGGCCCAAGUUUUAUUGAAGGGAUAGGAAAAGGGAACAAGGACACUCUCAAGAGAGAGAGUGUGUACUGUCAUAGAGAAGAGGGACAGUAUGCCUCUCCUGCACUCCAUUUUUAUUAGGGAAUCCUAGAGAAAUUUCUUGAAGAUCCUGCCCAGGUCUACUUCUUGACUUUUUACUGACAGCAGCGUAUCCUCAGACAUUCAAGUACCUAUUGCCAUGACAAUUCUAGGUCCCCUUGGCCCAUGCUGAACAGUUCUAAUUGGAUUCUUUUUUCUUUUAUUUUUUUGUAGUUGUAGAUGGACAGCAUGCCUUUAUUGUAUUUGUUUAUUUUUAUGCAGUGCCAAGGCUGGAACCCAGAGCCUCACAUGUGCUAGGCGAGCACUCUGCCACUGAACUCCAGCGACAGCCCCUCUAAUUGGUUUCUUAACCAUAAAUUCUUACAGAUUUUAUGAUUAAGAGUAAUUAUCCCCAUCUUCCAGAAUCUGGUCUGUAAAAAGAGUCACAAAAUUUUUCCCUUCAAAGCAGUUUGCAUUCCUCUUAUCAACAUUGUUUCCUGACUGCAUUUCCUUCUAGAUAACAGGUAGUUUGCUGAGGAAAGUGACAUAUUCUAUCCACUUAGGCCAGGCAGGACUGUAGGUAAAUUGCUUUUUGACAAAGACAGCAUGUAUGUGUGUGUGGCGGGGGUGGGGGGUGCUGCACAGUGGUACCAUUUCACAGAAUUAUUCUUUUAACCUUGUGUUCCCACCAUCUUCAUCUGCAAGUCCCCUAACAUUGGGAGGAUCAGAGGAGGGUUAGGGUUAGAAGCUAUGAUAUGGGGUAUUCUUGGGUGAGUCAGUAAGAAUAGGACAUGAUGUUGGGCAUCCAGAAAAAUAUCCAGCCCCUAACCUUUGCCUGAGUUUAUUAUUCUCAAACUUCAAAGGAAAUAUAUUUUGGAGUUCAUACUUUGGAAGAUCUUAAAAUAAUUUGCGAUUAAGACUUGUUUCCAGAGUCAAGUGGUUUAUGCAACACAGGGAAUGUAUGCCAAUCAAAUACUAUAUCUUAAUGAAAUAUUUAUAAAAAUUCUGGUAGCUGUAAUCAUCUCUAAUUAUAUAUUUCUGCACAGUUUUCUCUGAAAAGAAAACUGAAAAAUGGGAAAAUGAAAAAAAAGUUGUAUUUUCAUAAAGUUAUUCACAAUUAAGGCCAAGUGAAUAAAAUUCUUGUGUUUAAAUGUCAAAGUAAAGACAAUGCUAAUUUGACCUUCUUCUAUUUUCAUGUGAAAGCUUGUGAAGUUUGGGUAGGAUAAAGAGAAAAGCACCUUUUAUUCCCCAAAGCUUUUAAAACCUGCCUUUAGUAGGCAGUGUGUCUUCUUUUUGUGAUCUCUAGGUUUUAUAGUCUCCUUUAUCAAUUGUAAGAGGUGUGGAAGGCUAGUUUAUAUCUUUCAGAAGGGACAACUGGGUCAACAGGUUGAAAGAACUUUGAAAGUUAUUUGUAUCUUUGCCAGUCACUGCAUUGUGUGGGAAUCACUGGAGCUGGUGUGUAAACUACCUUUUGAAUAAGAGGUAGAAAAUGGAAUUUAUCAGGGGACAAUGCCCUUUGUUUAGAAGGAACAACAAAAGACGAAUAAAAGGACACAGCCAGUCUUCUGUGUUUACUGUCCUGUUUUUUUCUAGAUAAAAAAGAGGAUAAUAUUCUAUCUUGAUUGUGCACAGAGUCCUUAGGUACUUAAAGGAGAUGGAGGAAGAAGAGAAAUGAAAAAGAA